rnacentral:tRNA from 2 species
GCACAUAUAGCUCAAUUGGAUAGAGCGUUAGACUUCGGAUCUAAGUGUUGUGGGUUCAAGUCCUACUAUGUGCG